UGAGUAACCUGCCCUUAACUCUGGGAUAAGCCUGGGAAACUGGGUCUAAUACCGGAUAUGACUCCUCAUCGCAUGGUGGGGGGUGGAAAGCUUUAUUGUGGUUUUGGAUGGACUCGCGGCCUAUCAGCUUGUUGGUGAGGUAAUGGCUCACCAAGGCGACGACGGGUAGCCGGCCUGAGAGGGUGACCGGCCACACUGGGACUGAGACACGGUCCAGACUCCUACGGGAGGCAG
rnacentral:rRNA from 1 species